GGUGACGAGCGGCGGACGGGUGAGUAAUGUCUGGGAAACUGCCUGAUGGAGGGGGAUAACUACUGGAAACGGUAGCUAAUACCGCAUAAUGUCGCAAGACCAAAGUGGGGGACCUUCGGGCCUCAUGCCAUCAGAUGUGCCCAGAUGGGAUUAGCUAGUAGGUGGGGUAAUGGCUCACCUAGGCGACGAUCCCUAGCUGGUCUGAGAGGAUGACCAGCCACACUGGAACUGAGACACGGUCCAGACUCCUACGGGAGGCAGCAGUGGGGAAUAUUGCACAAUGGGCGCAAGCCUGAUGCAGCCAUGCCGCGUGUGUGAAGAAGGCCUUCGGGUUGUAAAGCACUUUCAGCGGGGAGGAAGGCGUUAAGGUUAAUAACCUUGGCGAUUGACGUUACCCGCAGAAGAAGCACCGGCUAACUCCGUGCCAGCAGCCGCGGUAAUACGGAGGGUGCAAGCGUUAAUCGGAAUUACUGGGCGUAAAGCGCACGCAGGCGGUCUGUCAAGUCGGAUGUGAAAUCCCCGGGCUCAACCUGGGAACUGCAUUCGAAACUGGCAGGCUAGAGUCUUGUAGAGGGGGGUAGAAUUCCAGGUGUAGCGGUGAAAUGCGUAGAGAUCUGGAGGAAUACCGGUGGCGAAGGCGGCCCCCUGGACAAAGACUGACGCUCAGGUGCGAAAGCGUGGGGAGCAAACAGGAUUAGAUACCCUGGUAGUCCACGCCGUAAACGAUGUCGAUUUGGAGGUUGUGCCCUUGAGGCGUGGCUUCCGGAGCUAACGCGUUAAAUCGACCGCCUGGGGAGUACGGCCGCAAGGUUAAAACUCAAAUGAAUUGACGGGGGCCCGCACAAGCGGUGGAGCAUGUGGUUUAAUUCGAUGCAACGCGAAGAACCUUACCUGGUCUUGACAUCCACAGAACUUUCCAGAGAUGGAUUGGUGCCUUCGGGAACUGUGAGACAGGUGCUGCAUGGCUGUCGUCAGCUCGUGUUGUGAAAUGUUGGGUUAAGUCCCGCAACGAGCGCAACCCUUAUCCUUUGUUGCCAGCGGUUAGGCCGGGAACUCAAAGGAGACUGCCAGUGAUAAACUGGAGGAAGGUGGGGAUGACGUCAAGUCAUCAUGGCCCUUACGACCAGGGCUACACACGUGCUACAAUGGCAUAUACAAAGAGAAGCGACCUCGCGAGAGCAAGCGGACCUCAUAAAGUAUGUCGUAGUCCGGAUUGGAGUCUGCAACUCGACUCCAUGAAGUCGGAAUCGCUAGUAAUCGUAGAUCAGAAUGCUACGGUGAAUACGUUCCCGGGCCUUGUACACACCGCCCGUCACACCAUGGGAGUGGGUUGCAAAAGAAGUAGGUAGCUUAACCUUCGGGAGGGCGCUUACCACUUUGUGAUUCAUGACUGGGGUGAAGUCGUAACAAGGUAACCGUAGGGGAACCUGCGGUUGGAUCACCU
rnacentral:rRNA from 1 species